rnacentral:rRNA from 1 species
GAUGAACGCUGGCGGCGUGCUUAACACAUGCAAGUCGAACGGAAAGGCCCAAGCUUGCUUGGUACCCGAAUUGGCAACGGGGGGAUAAAAAGGGGGGGGAUCGCCCUUCCAUUCGGGGUUAGCCCGGGGAAACUGGGCCAAAAACGGGAAAGGACCCCAUUUGGGUGGUGGUGGUGGAAGGUUUUCGGUGUGGGAUGAGCUCGCGGCCUAAUCGCUUGUUGGUGGGGUAAUGGCCUACCAAGGCGUCGACGGGUAGCCGGCCUGAGAGGGUGUACGGCCACAUUGGGACUGAGAUACGGCCCAGACUCCUACGGGAGGCAGCAGUGGGGAAUAUUGCACAAUGGGCGCAAGCCUGAUGCAGCGACGCCGCGUGGGGGAUGACGGCCUUCGGGUUAUAAACUCCUUUCGCUAGGGACGAAGCGUUUUUGUGACGGUACCUGGAGAAGAAGCACCGGCUAACUACGUG